UGAACCUCAGUUUGAUCUGCAAUAACCAGAAAGCACCUUCUAGCUCCACUAGAGGGCGACAUGAUCCAGUAGGCGGUGCUCUACCUGUGCUCUGUGCUCCAGCAUUGUGUCAAUAAUAAGUGGUGCUGUGAAGAGAACAAUUGUCAGACUGAAUGUUGAACAUCAGCUAGUUUCUCCUGCUGAUUUAAACCUUGUUGGACAGAUGGAACAUUGGCUGUGGAUUAUUCUUGCUGCUCUUUUCUUUGAGUGUAAAGGAGACACAGUGAAGCAGCCAGAAGGAGAUGUUGUUGCUGCUGAAGGAGAAACACGGACUCUGGAAUGUACUUUUAAAGCCAGUGGUGGAAAUGAUGCCUUGUUCUGGUACAAACAAGAAGAAAACAGUUCUCCAAAGUACAUGUUGAAACAAUACGUUAAACUAGGAGAUAAUGCUCCAGAGUUCAGCAAAGACAGAUUUCAUGCAAAGGUCAACAGCUCAGCUUUUGAUCUGAAGAUCCAGGAUCUCCAUCUGUCAGAUUCUGCUGUGUACUACUGUGCUCUGCAGCCCACAGUGACAGGAAACACCAGAACUCUGAACAAGAACCUGCAGAACAAAGACAAGACAAUGCUCCACAACAGCCACUAGAGGGCCUCAUACACUGUUCUAUGUCUAUGAUUGGUUUGUUUUUCCAAAAUCAAAAGAGAAAAACUAAAAAUGUAAACAGCAUGUAACUGAUAUAUUUCAAAGGGAACAAACAACAUUAAAGUCAUAAAUACUCAUAAAUCAGAGCAUCUUCAUCUCCUGCACACACCAAAGAUUCCCACUGGCUGGACCUUCAGUUUUGAUCUUCAGGGAACGAUGUUCUGCUGAGUUUAGAGAUGACCGUCUGAUCCAACAUGUCUGCAAUGAAGGAAUGAUUUACUUCAACAGGUUGUCAUUGAGUUUUGCUGAACUUUUUCACCGACCCAUCAAUCUAGAACAGGGAUGCUGAAGCAGGUGACCAUCUGAAACAUCAGUGGGCAGUUUUCCAAACCAUUGUU